CAAACUCAAACUGCAAAGUGGC
rnacentral:siRNA from 1 species